ensembl:lncRNA
UAAUAGCUAAAUGUGCUUUAAACUACAGCAGCUUAAACUAUAAAUGUAAAAGAAACAGAAAGCAUUAGCAGCAUAAUUUCAGAACAAUAUGCUGCAGUUAAUAAAUAAAACAAACAAUACUACAUCAGUGUAAUGUCACCAUUAAGUGUCAGGUUAUACAGACCAACUGACCAACAAUAAAAUCAUUUUAGCUAUUGUCAUUGUCAAAAUGUCCCCCCUUUUUGCCUAUUUGACACGAGAACAUCCUUUACUUCUUACAUGGCCAGGUGAUUUCUCAGAGUUAAAACCUUGCCUUUAAACUACUUCUUCCCCAAGCUCAACAGGACCUGCUGAAUGAAAUGGAAAGUGUUGUUCAAGACCUGAAAGAAAUGAGCCACCUUCAAAUGGUAGUGUAAGGCUUACAGGUCUUAUAGUAAAUUACAGUACAAAUCUGUUUUUAAGCCAAACAUAUUUCGAUACCGAUUUGUGAAUAUAAAGAGAAAUUACCUGAUUAGACAGUUUUCAAAUCGGGAUGCACGUUUACAAAACAUAGUAUGUACUGUAUUUGAAAAUGUUUUUAGACACUUUCAGUUAUAAACUGAACCAACAAUGUCUUAUCUACUGUAAUUUAACUCAUCCUUGACUGCAUUAUUGCCUAUUUUAAUGUACGAUGUGUAGUAAGAGAACAUCAUUUAUAAUCCAGUGAUAUAACUUACAAAGCAGGCCUUGAAGUCAGCUGGGUUAUCAUCAAAACGUACUGGAAGUCUUCUCAGCACAAGGCAUCUGAUGUCAGUAAUGUCCGAUGUCUAGAUUGCAUUGACAGCAUAGAUAAGAUUGUAACAUUAGACAUUAUAACAUUGACAGUCCACACUCAGAUCUGUACACUGAUAUGGGUAGUAUCACUUCAAUUUACAAACCUUUGUCGCAAAAGACCAUCCAAGAUUUGGCCCUUGAGGCCUUUCUUUGACCUGAAGAUUUCAACAAGUUGAGUGCAAUGAGACACAGAAUUCCUGUUUCAGGUUUCACUCUAUUGAAUUCCUGGUAGACCUAAAACAUAUGCACAAAUACAUCAUGUUAUAAAGGUACUGUCACGAUUUGGGACCUCCGGGCCUCUAGAGGUCGCCAACUAAAGACUCUUGGCUAGUCUUGGGUGUACAUGUGCUUAUGUUGACUUCCUGUCUCUGUUUUCCCUUUGUUUUCACCUGCUAGUUAAUUGGCUAAUUAACUAGGCUAAUGGAUGGAUCGAAGACAAUAAAUAUGUUAAUGUUUGAAGGAAGGGGAAUAAUGCAAUGCACUUCAAUGAGAAUGCUGACCGUAUACAAAUGACAACAUGUAAAGGGAAACUUGUGUAGAAGCUUCUCUUUCCAAAAGCCAAAAAGGGACAACACCAUCAAACCAGUAAAGACAGAGCCAAACAAGUUACAGCCAAACAAGCUAUGUCUUCAACCUGAUGGCCCUUGUCUUCAGAUAAAGUUGCUCUUGACCCCCUAGCUGAUGUGGAUGUGUUUCAGGACCUGUCUGCUUAACACGACAGACCUCCCAUGGAGAAAGUUGCUGAGCAUGCGUCUGUGUCGCGUUCCAGUCGAUGGGGGGUCUGAACCUGACAUACUGCCCUGUAGCAUCAGAAAACUCCCUUCUUAUGCACAGCACCACAGGUGGAGGGAUGACAACAUGAACACUUCCAAGGAACCCCCAGCACCAGCUAACAAACCACUUGAAGGCCAAGUGUCUGCAUCAUCUGCAUGGAGAAGAGAGGAGGAAAGCACAUAUUGAUUGUUUUAGUAUUUAUUUGGUUUAGAGUUUAUAAUUGCG